rnacentral:rRNA from 1 species
GACGAACGCUGGCGGCGUGCUUAACACAUGCAAGUCGAACGGAAAGGCCCUGCUUUUGUGGGGUGCUCGAGUGGCGAACGGGUGAGUAAAACGUGAGUAACCUGCCCUUGACUUUGGGAUAACUUCAGGAAACUGGGGCUAAUACCGGAUAGGAGCUCCUGCUGCAUGGUGGGGGUUGGAAAGUUUCGGCGGUUGGGGAUGGACUCGCGGCUUAUCAGCUUGUUGGUGGGGUAGUGGAUUACCAAGGCUUUGACGGGUAGCCGGCCUGAGAGGGUGACCGGCCACAUUGGGCCUGGGGUACGGCCCGGAGUCCUACGGGCGGCAGCAGUGGGGAAUAUUGCACAAUGGGCGGAAGCCGGAUGCAGCAACGCCGCGUGCGGGAGGACGGCCUUCGGGUUGUAAACCGCUUUCGCCUGUGACGAAGCGUGAGGGACGGGAAUGGGUAAAGAAGCACCGGCUAACUACGU